rnacentral:rRNA from 1 species
CCUACGGGUGGCAGCAGUGAGGAAUAUUGGUCAAUGGGCGCGAGCCUGAACCAGCCAAGUAGCGUGAAGGAUGAAUGCCCUACGGGUUGUAAACUUCUUUUAUAAAGGAAUAAAGUGAGGCACGUGUGCCUUUUUGUAUGUACUUUAUGAAUAAGGAUCGGCUAACUCCGUGCCAGCAGCCGCGGUAAUACGGAGGAUCCGAGCGUUAUCCGGAUUUAUUGGGUUUAAAGGGUGCGUAGAUGGGAUGUUAAGUCAGGUGUGAAAGUUUGCGGCUCAACCGUAAAAUUGCAGUUGAAACUGGCAGCCUUGAGUACAGUUGAGGUAGGCGGAAUGCGUGGUGUAGCGGUGAAAUGCUUAGAUAUCACGAAGAACUCCGAUUGCGAAGGCAGCCUACUAGACUGCAACUGACGUUGAGGCUCGAAAGUGUGGGUAUCAAACAGGAUUAGAUACCCCAGUAGUC